rfam:Mesocricetus auratus contig099177, whole genome shotgun sequence.
GAUCCCUUCAGCAGCACAUACAUCGAAAUUGGAAUGAUACAGAGAAGAUUAGCAUGGUCUCUGCGCAGGAUGGCAUGCAAAUUCAUGAAGCAUUCCAUGUUUUU